rnacentral:pre_miRNA from 7 species
CUUUGGGGUUCCUGGGUGUCACGCAGAUCUCGGUGGAACCUCCAAAUGAAAGAACCUAGUGGGGAAACCCCCACUCAGCUCCUGAUUCGGCGUGCACCCAAGAAUCACGAAUAGAACA